rnacentral:rRNA from 1 species
GAUGAACGCUGGCGGCGUGCCUAAUACAUGCAAGUCGAGCGAACAGACGAGGAGCUUGCUCCUCUGACGUUAGCGGCGGACGGGUGAGUAACACGUGGAUAACCUACCUAUAAGACUGGGAUAACUUCGGGAAACCGGAGCUAAUACCGGAUAACAUGUUGAACCGCAUGGUUCAACAGUGAAAGACGGUUUUGCUGUCACUUAUAGAUGGAUCCGCGCCGCAUUAGCUAGUUGGUAAGGUAACGGCUUACCAAGGCAACGAUGCGUAGCCGACCUGAGAGGGUGAUCGGCCACACUGGAACUGAGACACGGUCCAGACUCCUACGGGAGGCAGCAGUAGGGAAUCUUCCGCAAUGGGCGAAAGCCUGACGGAGCAACGCCGCGUGAGUGAAGAAGGUCUUCGGAUCGUAAAACUCUGUUAUUAGGGAAGAACAAAUGUGUAAGUAACUAUGCACGUCUUGACGGUACCUAAUCAGAAAGCCACGGCUAACUACGUA